rnacentral:misc_RNA from 1 species
GAUGAAGAACGUAGUGAAAUGCGAUAAGUAAUGUGAAUUGCAGAAUUCAGUGAAUCAUCGAAUCUUUGAACGCACAUUGCGCCCGCCAGUAUUCUGGCGGGCAUGCCUGUUCGAGCGUCAUUUCAACCCUCAAGCCCAGCUUGGUGUUGGGGAUCGGCACAGGCGCCCUCGGGCGCCCGCCGUCCCCUAAAUCUAGUGGCGGUCCCGCUGCAGCCUCCUCUGCGUAGUAGUUUUCUCCUCGCAAGGGCAGCUCGGUGGCGACCUCGCCGUAAAACCCCCAACUUCUGAAAGGUUGACCUCGCAUCAGGUAGGAAUACCCGCUGAACUUAAGCAUAUCAAUAAGCGGAGGA